AAAUUGAAGAGUUUGAUCAUGGCUCAGAUUGAACGCUGGCGGCAGGCCUAACACAUGCAAGUCGAGCGGUAGCACAGAGAGCUUGCUCUCGGGUGACGAGCGGCGGACGGGUGAGUAAUGUCUGGGAAACUGCCUGAUGGAGGGGGAUAACUACUGGAAACGGUAGCUAAUACCGCAUAAUGUCGCAAGACCAAAGUGGGGGACCUUCGGGCCUCAUGCCAUCAGAUGUGCCCAGAUGGGAUUAGCUAGUAGGUGGGGUAACGGCUCACCUAGGCGACGAUCCCUAGCUGGUCUGAGAGGAUGACCAGCCACACUGGAACUGAGACACGGUCCAGACUCCUACGGGAGGCAGCAGUGGGGAAUAUUGCACAAUGGGCGCAAGCCUGAUGCAGCCAUGCCGCGUGUGUGAAGAAGGCCUUCGGGUUGUAAAGCACUUUCAGCGGGGAGGAAGGCGUUAAGGUUAAUAACCUUGUCGAUUGACGUUACCCGCAGAAGAAGCACCGGCUAACUCCGUGCCAGCAGCCGCGGUAAUACGGAGGG
rnacentral:rRNA from 1 species